ensembl:lincRNA
GCUGACAGCUGUGUGGGCAUUGGUGCCAGCGACAGGGCCACUGUGGAAACUAUUGAAGCUUUUUCUUUCAGGUCACUUCUAGAAAGUCACUGAAGAAGAAGGAUCUUUUUCCAAACCACAAAACUGAGUCAGACAACAUGUACCCAGCAUGAAGUAUGGACUACUACCACCGAUUUCUGCUUCAGGCACUAAGCAAAGCUGGGUGUCUUGUGAAGGACUUUCUCACUUCCGUGACUGCGCCAGCAAGUCGGCUAUGACAAACUUCAAGAAGUGACUCCUCAAAAGGGAUUUCCCUAAAGAUGGAGGAAGAGCUCCACAACUAGGACAACACCGUGUUCCAAGCAGGCACAGCCGCUCAGAGACAUUUAUGGAUGAGCCAUAAAUGGAAUUGAAUGCUAUCUCCACUCCAAUUUUUCUUCCUCCUCAUACUCCAGCACACAAAAAAACUAUUGUAGAAGGCAGCUGUGGAGGUUGCCAGAAAGCCAGCAAAGCCGUAUUAACGACAUGACCCUUUAUGAUACACGUUUAUUUAUAUUCAGUGAAGUAGGUUACUGACAAUUUGGCCAUUAAUUUGCUGUUUAUAAAUCGUAUUUUCCUUGUGUAGUAACCACAAGACUUUGACAUUCACAGUUGUGCUGAAAGAAACAAGUUUAUUAAAGAAGGCGAAGGAGGGAGAAAAGAUCAGUCCUUUAAAGUUCACCAAAUUGCACAUGUCAACCACUAAGUAAGAUUCUGGACUUGAAAAACAGCAACACGCCUAGUGAGGGGGGAAAGAGAAGGGAACGCGCUGCGGGUAUUCAAUUCUCGUGUAGAAAGGGAAUCAGACGGCCAAAAAAAGUCUAAGUACUCCAGCCCUUAAAGAAAUAUAAUCCGGAGUUUAUAUCAGAUGGUUUAUGGGAGUUUAUUG